rnacentral:rRNA from 1 species
UCUAGCGGAACGAGUUAUCUGAACCUUCAGGGAAAAAUAACGGCGUCGAGCGGCGGACGGGUGAGUAAUGCCUAGGAAAUUGCCCUGAUGUGGGGGAUAACCAUUGGAAACGAUGGCUAAUACCGCAUGAUGCCUACGGGCCAAAGAGGGGGACCUUCGGGCCUCUCGCGUCAGGAUAUGCCUAGGUGGGAUUAGCUAGUUGGUGAGGUAAGGGCUCACCAAGGCGACGAUCCCUAGCUGGUCUGAGAGGAUGAUCAGCCACACUGGAACUGAGACACGGUCCAGACUCCUACGGGAGGCAGCAGUGGGGAAUAUUGCACAAUGGGCGCAAGCCUGAUGCAGCCAUGCCGCGUGUGUGAAGAAGGCCUUCGGGUUGUAAAGCACUUUCAGUCGUGAGGAAGGUAGUGUAGUUAAUAGCUGCAUUAUUUGACGUUAGCGACAGAAGAAGCACCGGCUAACUCCGUGCCAGCAGCCGCGGUAAUACGGAGGGUGCGAGCGUUAAUCGGAAUUACUGGGCGUAAAGCGCAUGCAGGUGGUUUGUUAAGUCAGAUGUGAAAGCCCGGGGCUCAACCUCGGAAUUGCAUUUGAAACUGGCAGACUAGAGUACUGUAGAGGGGGGGAGAAUUUCUCGUGUAGCGGUGAAAUGCGUAGAGAUCUGAAGGAAUAUCGGUGGCGAAGGCGCUCCCCCUGCACAGAUACUGACACUCAGAUGCGAAAGCGUGGGGACCAAACUCGGAUUAGAUACCCUGUUAGACCACGCCGUAAACGAUGUCUACUUGGAGGUUGUCUGCCCUCCCGCCGCGGCUCUCUGAUCUGACGCGUUCAAUAGACCUCCUGAGGAGGACCCCCCGCGCUAUCACAUCUCACAUGAAAUGACACCGGCACGCACUUUCCGCGGAGCAUGUCGUAUAAUUGGACGCACGUCCAUAUCCUUACGUACGCUGGACCUGCAGUAGACUGUGCAUAGAUCUGAUGGUGCGUCAAGACUCUGAUAUAGCUGACUGCACGCUCCUCAUCAC